AUGGACCAAUCCAUCCCUUUUUCCCAUGCAUAUGCAUCGGACUCGGAUGACGAUGGUCCCGAUGAAGAAGUUGAUGAGGAGAGGUUCACGCCGAAGGAGGCCCAAGCAUUCAAGAAGGUAUUCGGGCGGGAUCACAAGACACCAUUGUUCAAGGAUCGUAGUCUCGCGGAUGAAGCCAUUGUGGAUGGUGGCAAAUGCAUAUCUCUUGGAGCUAGGCCAAGUUCUCACCGUGAUUUGGAAGACGGCAAGAACGGGAUAUAUCCCGGUUGUGAGUUUCACUCCUUCUUGCAAUUCAAGAUGUGGCUCGACAACUACUCGGUUACACAUUAUCGCCCACAUAAAGUGGCCAACUCGGACGUGAAUGUGCGUUACACGGUCAAAUGUGAAGUGCCAACAUGUCCAUGGAUUGUGCGUGCAAGGCCAUGGAAAGGAGGUUCCACUUGGCGCAUAUUGAGUUGUCUACCAACUCACAUGUGCCGGCACAAGAAUGCGGAUGGCAAGCUUGUGUACCAACAACACAGACAACUCACGUCCGAGUUCAUUACUUAG
rnacentral:rRNA from 1 species